GGGGAUGUAGCUCAGUUGGCUAGAGCGGUUGACUGGCAGUCAAGAGGUCGUGGGUUCGAGCCCCAUCUUCUCCA
rnacentral:tRNA from 1 species